CGGGCAAGGAAGGAAGGAGGGCGCGGGGCGCUGGGAGGGAGCCUCGCGGGUCCGUGGCUCCCACGCUUGAAGUCCCGAGGGACCCGGGGCCAAGGGCGCACUCCAAAGUCUUUUUGAAAGUAGUCAUAUCUUUCUAAGAAGGACCAAUCUGCAAGUGAGCUCAGAGGCAGACAUGCCAUUGGUUGACCUGUGGGAAACCCUCAUGGUCAUCCAGUGCUAACUGCAUUCUGGGAAUACCAAAUGCAGUUCUCAAGCUAUAGAAGAGCUCUACUCACAGAGUCGUGAUAAAGGAGAGCAUCAGCCUUUUCCGCUCGGAUGCCAAUAAGUCUUGCACCUCAAAAUUGCUGCCCUAAAAAGGAUACUUGAGAAGGAGCAGAUCUUUUUUUUUUUCUUUUAAAGAAAGCAACACCAGAAGCAGUCCGAUUUCCUUGUACACUGAGAUGCG